CUAUUCCUCACGCCGCACGGCCGCAGCACGCGCAUUUUUUAAUUACCGGAAGAUAUCUUCAACACCGCGACCGCGGCAGCUGCAAAGACCACUAUUCAGAGAUGCUUUAAAGGAGGAGAUAAUUCCAAAUGGGAAAUAUUGCAUGCCUUCCAUUGCCUGACAGUCCCAGAGAACUGGAAAACAGCUAGCAUUCCAACAGCUGCACUCCAAGCUGUGAAGAAACUGUGCCAGUUCUACAAUAUUGAAGAUGAAGACAAAUUGCAGACAGAAUUGAAGGUCUUCCAUACGUCAUACUCAUGCCCACCACCAGCCAAUGUGUCCUCUAUUCUGUCAGUGGUCAAGGAAACCAAUGCACAUCUAGUUUUCCCCAACAUGACUCUGCUGCUGAAGACAUAUGGCACACUUCCGGUGUCCACAGCAACUGUGGAACGUUCCUUCUCAAAACUGAAGCUUGUGAAAACCAAACUUCGCAGCCUUUGCAAAGAGGAGAGAUUGUCUGACCUUCUUCUGUUGGCCAUUGAGAAGGACAUUCCAAUAAAUGACAAUAAUGUCAUUAACAUUUUUAGGGACAUGGCCAACAGGAAAUUUCUGUUAUAAAAGUCUACAACAACUCAUCAACACUUAUUGCUCUUGGUGUGCAGCAGCCUCUGUGAGCAUCUCCCUCUUAUUUUCUUGGAGCAGUCAGCCUUGGCUGGUCAGUGAGCCAGUUCCAAACACUCUCAGCAAUCUUUACAUCUUGUCAUAUCUGUCAAACAUAUU